GCUCUAACCGUAACCCUAACCCAACCACUCAUUCUAACCUUAAUCCCAAACCCAACACUGACCCCAAACCUGACCCGACCAACAUAGCCUUAUCACCCAAUAACCUGCAACCCAAAAUCUGAUAACCUAAUACAUGAUAAACCAACUACCCGACUAUCCGAUACCCACAACUUAAAAUCCAAUAAUCCAAUGACCCAAUACCCAAUAACCCAACAACUCAAUAUCC
rnacentral:lncRNA from 1 species